rnacentral:rRNA from 1 species
CCUACGGGAGGCAGCAGUGAGGAAUAUUGGUCAAUGGGCGAGAGCCUGAACCAGCCAAGUCGCGUGAGGGAGUACUGCCCUAUGGGUUGUAAACCUCUUUUGUCGGGGAGCAAAAGCCGGACGUGUCCGGCUGUGAGAGUACCCGAAGAAAAAGCAUCGGCUAACUCCGUGCCAGCAGCCGCGGUAAUACGGAGGAUGCGAGCGUUAUCCGGAUUUAUUGGGUUUAAAGGGUGCGCAGGCGGAUUUUUAAGUCAGCGGUAAAAUCGUGGGGCUCAACCCCAUCCAGCCGUUGAAACUGGGGAUCUAGAGUGGGCGAGAGGUAUGCGGAAUGCGUGGUGUAGCGGUGAAAUGCAUAGAUAUCACGCAGAACCACGAUUGCGAAGGCAGCAUACCGGUGCACAACUGACGCUCAGGCACGAAAGCGUGGGUAUCGAACAGGAUUAGAUACCCGUGUAGUC